AUGCUCUGAUCAGGAAGCGCUGGGUCCUGAGCCAACACGUGUGCGAGGCUUAGCACCCCCUUAAUGUUUUCUGCUACGACCCACGAGGAAGGAGGAACAGGAUCUCUCGUCCUAAAGAAAAGGCUGCGGCUGGUCAGGAGGCAAAGGAAACUGGGCAGAAACAAAGCAAAAUAAAACACCGGUUGCUUUGCAGCACCUCUCCUGCAGACAGGCUGUCAUGACGUAACAAGUCCUGCCCUACAGGAGUGACGCCACUACAUGGAUAAGGUAACAAAGACUCCCCCGGAACUACAGAGUUACGUGUCUGGUGCCAUUGUAUGACACAAGAAUCAUCUCUCCAAUUGAUGGGAAUUCCUUCAGUACAAAGAUGACACAGAGGAAGGCCCAGUAGGGAUCAAGAAGGAAGAAAACACAGAUCCUUUGUGAGAAGAGCUUGGCAGCUGAGGACGGGGAGAGAAAAAGAGCUGGGAGGACAGACGCUCCGUACACAGGAGAGAAGCCUGACGUGGGUGCGGGGGAUGUGUCUGCAUGUGUCCGCAUGGGUGUGCAUGUGCACAGGUGGGAGCAAAAUACCAAAGGAGACACCCUCACACGCACUCCUUCUGUGUAACCACCUGGUCUGGAGGCCGGAGAGAUGAUGGUUUCCCUGAGCCAGGAGGUCCUAACGGCGCAUUGCUUCACCUCUUCUUCUUUCCCAUUGAAAUCACUGCCAAGCAAAUGCGUGCUGAGUGAAUGGAUGUACUCACGUACUACUAGAAGACACAACUGGGGGAUGCUCCAGUGGGUGAGUUAAAAUGUUAGAAAAAAAAUGAAAGCAGGGGGAAAACAAGAACAGCAACAGAAAACAUAAUGAGCAUGAUGAGUCCUGAAAUGCAAAAAUAAAUCAGGAACAAUUGUUUAAAAUUCGGGGGUUUUCUGCAAUGUGGGGUUGAGAGAGGGCAGCUCCAGUGAAGAUCUGCCUCUGGGGGCAGGGGCUCUGGUUACACAGAGAAAAGUGAUCGGCAUCAUGUGUUCAGGAUCGACUGGCUGCCGCGGAGCAAGUGUGCUGAGAGCAGAGUCCCGAAGCCCUCUGUUCGGUCCAGAGAGCACGGCCCACAAGCUUAUCAGUCUGAUUUUCUGAUGAUUCUGGGCAAUUUAAUGAUAAUCUUGGAUUGCUUCUUCCGGGGUCCUGACCCCUUGGCCUAUGCCUGUGUGAGCAGUACGCUUCUUAAAUACUUGUACUUACCCGUGUGCAGUGUUUUGAAAUCAGAUACCUCUAGAGGGGAGGCCAUGUCUGACCACUAACAAACAGGUAAAUGACCCAGACAAGUGCCCCUACCAGGUGCUGGAGAGGAUGUCAGUGGCCACGCUCUGCUGUCAGACCUGUGAGGACACUGGACAUGUUUCUGUUAAACCAGCAGCCCUCCCACUCCAAACAGUGCAGAUAAAGCUGCGGGCUUUGGGGGGUUACCUGAGCCACGCUAGCCCUGAGCUCCUUUUGGCUGCUCUGGGUCCUUAAGGGACCCUGGAAGCCCGUGGCUUCAUGGAGCACAGUUUGGAAACCAUCUGUGUGGCCUCUUUAUUUUCCUCUGUCUCUGGCCCUGCAUAUGGCCCCAUGGAUUUGACUGGAAAGCAAGCUCUAGCUGAAACCCAAGACAUAUUGACUUCAGCCGCUCAUGGCUUGGGUCCUUUCCAUUUAACUGUUCUUUCUCUGAUGAUUUCAUUGUUCAGUAGACUGCAUUUUUUACAUGUGAAAUAGUACAAGCAAGCCACAUGCUACAAUAACCUAGUACACAUAUCACAAAAUAGGCCAAAACAGAGAGGAAACAGGAUGCAGGAAAAAUCCCUUUGAAACUGGACUUUUCAAACAUAGUACAAUGAUCUAGUUCUUGUGGAAGUGCUCAUUGGCGGAAUCUUUGCAUUAACGGCGAGUUAGAGAAGCAGGCAGUGUUCUGGAAAGAGCUCAGGCUUUAAAAUUGGUCCACAUUUUGAAAUUUUUGCUCUGCCCACAAAUUUAUCAGUCAGAUUGUCUGCUGAUUCUGGACAAUUUAAUGAUAAUCUUGAUUUCCUUCUUCCGGGGUCCUGACCCCUUGGCCUAUGCCUGUGUGAGCAUAGGUUGAUUAGCUGUGUGAUUGAGGUGAGAUCUUGUUUGUUUGCUGAUUUCUGUAUUUAUAUAUCUGAGCCUCAGUUUUCUCAUAUGCAAAUUAAGAAGCCAAUCUAGUAUAGAGUAUGCAUCUUAUUUAACUUCCUUCCUCUGACAAUGCUGCUGCCAUCUCCAUUUUGGUCCUGGUGGUGCUGUCAGUCAUGGGCCUUUCUCACCAUCCUUGACACCACUAUAGGGUAGACAUUCAACUUCAUCACCUUGAUCAUGAGAAAGUGUUAAAAUGACAUCACCUGUUCCAAACAGGGCCAGUGAGUGUCCUCCCUAAGAUUGGUCUAUGGACAUGGCGAACGUUCUUUAAUUUUGGAUCAUGAAUCAUAGGAUCUUGGGUAUCCAGUGAUGAUGUUUCUGCUCCUGUAAUGAGCUUGUCUGCUGACAAAGCCAACACAGAAGGAUGGAAGGUGGAGGAUUGAAAGAGAAAGCUAAAGCUGAAGUCAAAUUCAAAAUCGAGCUUCUGAGCCAUGCCUGGUGCUGGUCCCAGCCUUGUGCUUCACAAAAUCAUCUUUUUUGUGAGUUAGAGUUGGGAUUCCAAAUUUUUCAAUGGCUGGAGUGACAAUAGAAAAACAAAUAACUUUCAGGGUCGUUUUAAGGAUUAGAGAUAUAACAUAUGAAGCUCAAGACACUUAAUAAUUACUCCAAAUGUAUCUUUAGAUAAAUGAGGUGGGAUGCUAACUUGACCCAUCUGCCCUGGAUUGGCCUUGAUGUUUUAGUGCUUUUUCUUCUCUAUCUUCUCCCCUGGAGUUGUCAUUAUCAAUCCUCA